rnacentral:rRNA from 1 species
UACAGAGGUCCCAAGCGUUGUUCGGAUUCAUUGGGCGUAAAGGGUGUGUAGGUGGCGCCGUAAGUCGGGUGUGAAAUCUCGGGGCUUAACUCCGAAACUGCAUUCGAUACUGCGGUGCUUUGAGGACUGGAGAGGAGACUGGAAUUCAUGGUGUAGCAGUGAAAUGCGUAGAGAUCAUGAGGAAGACCAGUGGCGAAGGCGGGUCUCUGGACAGUUCCUGACACUGAGACACGAAGGCCAGGGGAGCAAACGGG